GAAAUGCGAUAAGUAAUGUGAAUUGCAGAAUUCAGUGAAUCAUCGAAUCUUUGAACGCACCUUGCGCUCUUUGGUAUUCCUUGGAGCAUGCCUGUUUGAGUAUCAUGAAAUCUUCAAAGUAAAUCUUUUGUUAACUCAAUUGGUUUCUACUUUGGUAUUGGAGGUCUUUGCAGCUUCACACCUGCUCCUCUUUGUUCAUUAGCUGGAUCUCAGUGUUAUGCUUGGUUCCACUCGGCGUGAUAAGUUAUCCAUCGCUGAGGACACUGUAAAAGGUGGCCAAGGUAAAUGCAGAUGAACCGCUUCUAAUAGUCCAUUGACUUGGACAAUACUUUUAUGAUCUGAUCUCAAAUCAGGUAGGACUACCCGCUGAACUUAAGC
rnacentral:misc_RNA from 1 species